AACAAUAUCUCCUCACAAGAUCGCGCAUCGGCUACAGCUCCGUCGUACCCAUGCCAAGCCACCACAUUCGGCGCCAUUAUUGUUACAGGUGAAUAAUCUGGGUUCCAAUGUUGAGUGUCAUAUUCGACGAAUAAUGAUAUUGUUGUCUCCAUAAGUAAAUGAUUAAGAUCCAAAACCUCUUGUUGGAGACCAAUUAUUUGUCCACUGAAAAACAAGAACAAGAAUAGCUCCACCAAAAUGAAAAAGAGAGCAGCAGCAACCAAAACUUGCAAACGAUUUGGAUUUGUCGAUGCUAAUGGAAACGAACGGCCACCAUCAUCACUCCUACAGAUUGUUGGACUUUGAGAUUGAGAUUGGAAGGGAGUCUUGAAUUAUCCUUGUUGCUGCUAGUUAAAAUUCGAGUUAUUGAGUUCAUAAUAAAUGUUUUAGUUGAAGGCUAAUGAGUUUGGGAUCGGGAUUUGGAAUAAUGGGUCUAAAACUAAGAGAUUUGAUGACAUCAUAAUGAAGAAGAUGGCAUCAAGGCAAAUUACAAUUCGCUUUGACAGGAGCGGCCGAUUUGAGUUUAGAAUUGAAGUGAUUGCCAUGAAAUUUUUUGAACAUUUUGGGGCAAAAAUGUCAUUUUAUUAAUAUUCCGUAAGUUUAAAAUAUGUGAAAAUGAAGGUGAAGAUCAUGACAAUGGAAGAAGAUGAAUGUGAGGAGUGAUGAUGAUGGAGAUGAAGGCGAGAGGAGAGAGGAAAAAAAUCUUCAAUUUCAUUUGUUAAUUUAUAAAUUCAAGGGUAUUAUUGUCUUUUGUUGAUAUUAGUGUUUUACAUGGAUUAAUAUGUCUUGGAUGUAAUUCAAAUAAGUACUUCAAUACUUAAAAAAUAAUAAAUAAAAAGAAUAUAAGGUGCUAAAUAAAAUUUUAAUAUUGUAUGUAAGUAGAAAGUAUCAUAUUAUUUCUUAGUAUUUUAUGAAUAAAAAGGUUCAGUGAAAUUUAACAUUAGUUAAAUUACAA
rnacentral:lncRNA from 1 species